rnacentral:ncRNA from 1 species
AGAGGGUGCGCUACUCUUAUAAUCCCUAACGUAGUUGGGAUUGACGUUUGUAAUCAGCGUCAUGAACCAGGAAUCCCUUGUAAAUGUGUGUCAACAACGCACGUUGAAUACGUCCCUGCCCUUUGUACACACCGCCCCGUCGCUCCUACCGAUUGGAUGACUCGGUGAAAUCACCGGAUGCUUACGAGCAGAAAGUGAUUAAAUCACGUUAUCUAGAGGAAGGAGAAGUCGUAACAAGGUAACGGUAGGUGAACCUGCCGUUGGAUCAGUU